GCUGGCGGCAGGUUGGGGCUUGUCCAGCACAGGGGCCCUGGGUGCAGAGGACAAGGAAGAAGCUGGGCAGUCGGGUCCCACCGUCACCAUCUUCAUUUUGACUGUGAACACGUUCCUUCAGUCUGUUCUCUGCCCCAACACUUCACUUCCUCCAGCCUCCGCCGUGACAAGAGAACACUCACCUGCUACGGCUCCAGUGAUGUCACCAGCCUCUGACUCAGAAGCCUCUGUGACUUCCUGCCGUCUCUGCACUCUGCUGAGCCGGGCACCAGGUUCCGUGUCCAGAGCGGGCCAUCAGCAGGGAGCUGGACGGGAAGUGGAGCAGCUGGGACUUGAACCCCAUAUGGGAUGAUGACGUCGUG